rnacentral:rRNA from 1 species
ACACAUGCAAGUCGAGCGGGCGAGGUUGCUUCGGUAACUGAGCUAGCGGCGGACGGGUGAGUAAUGCUUAGGAAUCUGCCUAUUAGUGGGGGACAACAUUCCGAAAGGAAUGCUAAUACCGCAUACGCCCUACGGGGGAAAGCAGGGGAUCUUCGGACCUUGCGCUAAUAGAUGAGCCUAAGUCAGAUUAGCUAGUUGGUGGGGUAAAGGCCUACCAAGGCGACGAUCUGUAGCGGGUCUGAGAGGAUGAUCCGCCACACUGGGACUGAGACACGGCCCAGACUCCUACGGGAGGCAGCAGUGGGGAAUAUUGGACAAUGGGCGNAAGCCUGAUCCAGCCAUGCCGCGUGUGUGAAGAAGGCCUUUUGGUUGUAAAGCACUUUAAGCGAGGAGGAGGCUACUUGGAUUAAUACUCUAGGAUAGUGGACGUUACUCGCAGAAUAAGCACCGGCUAACUCUGUGCCAGCAGCCGCGGUAAUACAGAGGGUGCGAGCGUUAAUCGGAUUUACUGGGCGUAAAGCGUGCGUAGGCGGCUUUUUAAGUCGGAUGUGAAAUCCCUGAGCUUAACUUAGGAAUUGCAUUCGAUACUGGGAAGCUAGAGUAUGGGAGAGGAUGGUAGAAUUCCAGGUGUAGCGGUGAAAUGCGUAGAGAUCUGGAGGAAUACCGAUGGCGAAGGCAGCCAUCUGGCCUAAUACUGACGCUGAGGUACGAAAGCAUGGGGAGCAAACAGGAUUAGAUACCCUGGUAGUCCAUGCCGUAAACGAUGUCUACUAGCCGUUGGGGCCUUUGAGGCUUUAGUGGCGCAGCU